UACGUAGGGCGCAAGCGUUGUCCGGAAUUAUUGGGCGUAAAGAGCUCGUAGGCGGUCCAUCGCGUCGGGAGUGAAAAGCUGGGGCUUAACCCCAGUCCUGCUUCCGAUACGGGUGGACUAGAGGUAUGCAGGGGAGAACGGAAUUCCUGGUGUAGCGGUGGAAAUGCGCAGAUAUCAGGAGGAACACCGGUGGCGAAGGCGGUUCUCUGGGCAUUACCUGACGCUGAGGAGCGAAAGCAUGGGGAGCAAACAGG
rnacentral:rRNA from 1 species